rnacentral:rRNA from 1 species
AAAGUGUAAAGGCAUAAACAUGCUUGACUGUUAGACUUAUAAGUCGCGCAGGUACGCAAGUAGGACUUAGUGAUCCGGUGGUUCUAAAUGGAUAGGCCAUCGCUCAAGAAAUAAAAGUUACGUUAGGGAUAAAGUUGUCCCUGCGCAUUUAAAUAAGUAGUUGACUAUUUACUUUCAACCUAUUAAAUGCAAAAAAACCGAGAAAAUGCAAAGAUAAUUUGCAGCGUAAAAAAUAAAUCUUAGAUUUUUCAUACACGUUCAACGACUUAGUCUCGGAGGUCUUUAAGAUCAAUGACAUAGUCUAAACAAUAGCGAAGGCUAUUGACAUGAGCUAGCAAACUCAUAGUAAUUAAAUUGAACAGGCUGAUACCGCACGAGAGUUCAUAUUGUCUGCGGUGUUUGGCACCUCGAUUAGAGUUAUAGUCGAGAAAGUAACGAAGUUAAUUGCAUGAAAUUCUAAAUUACAGAUAACAUACAGCCUUAUAAUGAGGUCUAACGACUAAAGUAUGAUACUUUAUAGUACUUCGGGAUAAAUUUUAGAAUUUAUCUAUGAUAUAGUCUAAACUAAUUCGAAAGGGUUAGAUGAUGUAACAGUCAUAAUAAUAAAGUUGGUCGACUCAUCCUAUCCUCCAGGUGCAUAAGCUUGGAAGGGUUCUGCUGUUCGCAGAUUAAAAGGGUACGCGAGUUGGGUUCAAUACGAUGUAAGUCAGUAUGGUUCCUAUCUUCUAGAUAUAGAAUUAUUAAUUUUGGACGGAUCUUUAGUACGAAAGGACUUAGAUCUGCGUUCCUCUAGUGUACCAAUUGUUGAGUCUUUACUUGGCACCGUUGGGUAGCCACGAACGUUAAGGAGAAGAGCUGAAGGCAUAUAAGCUACGAAACCUAC